rnacentral:rRNA from 1 species
GACGAACGCUGGCGGCGUGCUUAACACAUGCAAGUCGAACGGAAAGGCCCUGCUUUUGUGGGGUGCUCGAGUGGCGAACGGGUGAGUAACACGUGAGUAACCUGCCCUUGACUUUGGGAUAACUUCAGGAAACUGGGGCUAAUACCGGAUAGGAGCUCCUGCUGCAUGGGGGGGGUUGGAAAGUUUCGGCGGUUGGGGCUGGACUCGCGGCUUAUCAGCUUGUUGGUGGGGUAGUGGCUUACCAAGGCUUUGACGGGUAGCCGGCCUGGGAGGGUGACCGGCCACAAUGGGACUGCGAGACGGACCAGACUCCUACGGGAGGCAGCAGUGGGGAAUAUUGCACAAUGGGCCGAAGCCUGAUGCAGCAACGCCGCGUGCGGGAUGACGGCCUUCGGGUUGUAAACCGCUUUCGCCUGUGACGAAGCGUGAGUGACGGUAAUGGGUAAAGAAGCACCGGCUAACUACGUG